rfam:Streptomyces cyaneogriseus subsp. noncyanogenus strain NMWT 1, complete genome.
CUUCAGCGACCCGAGCCACAGCGGCCGCUCGGGCGGCCGGUCCCGGCCGUAGGUGGCCAGCAGCGCCUGCGCCUC